rnacentral:rRNA from 1 species
UACGUAGGUGGCAAGCGUUGUCCGGAUUUAUUGGGUUUAAAGGGUGCGUAGGCGGUCCUGUAAGUCAGUGGUGAAAUACGGCAGCUUAACUGUCGAGGUGCCAAUGAUACUGCAGGACUAGAGUACUGAUGAGGUAGGCGGAAUGGACGGUGUAGCGGUGAAAUGCUUAGAGAUCGUCCAGAACACCGAUAGCGAAGGCAGCUUACUAAGGAGUAACUGACGCUGAGGCACGAAAGUGUGGGGAUCAAACAGG